rnacentral:lncRNA from 1 species
GGGAUCACCAAAAUAUUUCUUUUUCUCCUGUUUCCUUCUCUUUACCUUACCUCAUCCUCAAAGGAUGGAGCUAUAAAGAGCGAGGUGAGACUAGUCAUAUGAUUAUUUUCAGGUGGAAAAGAAGUUUCUUUUGUUUUUGCUAAUAAGAAGAUGAUACAGAGGUUUUGAGUUAAAGCUGCCAUGGAAAACUAAUUGCAUCUU